rnacentral:rRNA from 1 species
ACAGAGACCUCAAGCGUUACUCGGAUUCACUGGGCGUAAAGGGAACGUAGGUGGCACAAGUGUGUUGGGCGUGAAAUUCUGGGGCUUAACCCCGGCGCUGCGUCCAAAACUACUUUGCUAGAGUACUGUAGAGAUGAGCGGAAUUUCUGGUGUAGCGGUAAAAUGCGUAGAUAUCAGAAAGAACACCAACGGCGAAGGCAGCUCAUUGGGCAGUCACUGACACUGAGGUUCGAAAGCGUGGGGAGCAAAAAG